rnacentral:rRNA from 1 species
UACGGGGGGGGCAAGCGUUGUUCGGAAUUACUGGGCGUAAAGGGUCUGUAGGUGGCCAACUAAGUCAGACGUGAAAUCCCUCAGCUUAACUGGGGAACUGCGUCUGAUACUGGUCGGCUUGAGUGCAGGAGAGGAACGCGGAAUUCCAGGUGUAGCGGUGAAAUGCGUAGAUAUCUGGAGGAACACCGGUGGCGAAGGCGGCGUUCUGGACUGCAACUGACACUGAGAGACGAAAGCCAGGGGAGCAAACGGG